GCGCUGCUGAGGAGUCCCAUAAUAAGACGAAACGGCUUUCCAGUGC
rnacentral:hammerhead_ribozyme from 1 species